rnacentral:rRNA from 1 species
UGAUUUUAUGCUUGCAUAAAUGAUUUUUGGAUUCGGAGCGAGUGGCGAACUGGUGAGUAACACGUGGGUAACCUGCCCCGAAGCGGGGGAUAACAUUUGGAAACAAGUGCUAAUACCGCAUAAUUAGUUGGAACCGCAUGGUUCCAACUUGAAAGAUGGCUCUGCUAUCACUUUGGGAUGGACCCGCGCCGUAUUAGUUAGUUGGUGAGAUAAAAGCCCACCAAGACGAUGAUACGUAGCCGACCUGAGAGGGUAAUCGGCCACAUUGGGACUGAGACACGGCCCAGACUCCUACGGGAGGCAGCAGUAGGGAAUCUUCCACAAUGGACGAAAGUCUGAUGGAGCAACGCCGCGUGAGUGAUGAAGGUUUUCGGAUCGUAAAAYUCUGUUGUUAAAGAAGAACAAGUGUUAGAGUAACUGUUAACACUUUGACGGUAUUUAACCAGAAAGCCACGGCUAACUACGUGCCAGCAGCCGCGGUAAUACGUAGGUGGCAAGCGUUGUCCGGAUUUAUUGGGCGUAAAGCGAGCGCAGGCGGUUUUGUAAGUCUGCUGUGAAAGCCCUCAGCUCAACUGAGGAAGUGCAGUGGAAACUACAAAACUUGAGUACAGAAGAGGAAAGUGGAACUCCAUGGUGUAGCGGUGAAAUGCGUAGAUAUAUGGAAGAACACCAGUGGCGAAGGCGGCUUUCUGGUCUGUUACUGACGCUGAGGCUCGAAAGCAUGGGUAGCGAACAGGAUUAGAUACCCUGGUAGUCCAUGCCGUAAACGAUGAAUACUAGGUGGUUGGAAGGGUUUCCGCCCCUUCAGUGCCGCAGCUAACGCAUUAAGUAUUCCGCCUGGGGAGUACGACCGCAAGGUUGAAACUCAAAGGAAUUGACGGGGGCCCGCACAAGUGGUGGAGCAUGUGGUUUAAUUCGAUGCUACGCGAAGAACCUUACCAGCUCUUGACAUCUUCUGCCAACCCAAGAGAUUGGGCGUUCCCUUCGGGGACAGAAUGACAGGUGGUGCAUGGUUGUCGUCAGCUCGUGUCGUGAGAUGUUGGGUUAAGUCCCGCAACGAGCGCAACCCUUAUUAUUAGUUGCCAGCAUUUAGUUGGGCACUCUAGUGAGACUGCCGGUGAUAAACCGGAGGAAGGUGGGGACGACGUCAAAUCAUCAUGCCCCUUAUGAGCUGGGCUACACACGUGCUACAAUGGAUGGUACAACGAGUCGCGAAACCGCGAGGUCAAGCUAAUCUCUUAAAGCCAUUCUCAGUUCGGAUUGCAGGCUGCAACUCGCCUGCAUGAAGUUGGAAUCACUAGUAAUCGUGGAUCAGCAUGCCACGGUGAAUACGUUCCCGGGCCUUGUACACACCGCCCGUCACACCAUGAGAGUUUGUAACACCCAA